AUAUGUUAAAUUAAUAUAUAAAUAUUUAACUUAAUACGUUCAUUAUUAUUUUAUUAAUUUAUCGUCACACGUCAUUUACCAGUUGCCUAAUUACGAAAAGUUUCAUAUGACAUUAACCUCAAAAAUGAUCUUUGAAAACAAACAACAACAAACAGAGCAACAAAUGAACAAAUAACUACAUAAUGACUGAUAAUGAUAAGUGAUAAUAAUAACUUUAAUGAUAUGAAGGCUGAUGAAGUUUUAGACAACCAAUACAAGAUUUAGAAGUUGACAUCGUGAUAAACAAAUUGUACAUUCAGGAACUCGUUUAAAUAUUAUAGGUUGAUUGACGAAUACUCUACAGUUGAUUAGAGCCCAUGAUGAUGCGAAGAUAAUUAAUAUCACCUAACUUCAAGAAACCAACGUAAAGAAGUUUACAUUCAUAACUCAUCUAACCAUUAUAGAUCAGUAAUGUCGUCAUAAUUUAAAUGAACUCACAGAUAGCAAUGGGGCACUGCACCGAAGCAGUAUUACAAAAUAUGUGAAAUAAAACUGUAAUACAAAUUGCUCUAUAAAAUUUAAUAGAAAUAAAUUUAUUUAUGAAAAUUAAGUUAUGAAGUUUUAUUUUUCCUAGGAAAAAAAUAACAUUUAUAUUUUGAUCAAUUUAGAACAUUACAGUUAAAAAAAUAUGUGUUAGAAUAACAUAUUUUUAAUAAAAUUGCAGCUUUUAAUUUUUAUACUUUUUUGCUUUUAUAUCAAUAAGAACUAACGUAAGGAACAAUUCAUAUUUAUACUAUGAAAACACAUGCAUAUUUUUUGAUGUUUUUAAAACCAGUGAAUGAUGUUGAAAUAUACUACACCUAUUAUUCUUAUUAACUAACUUUAAUUACAAACUUACACAUUAUUGUCAUUGGAAAUAAAUUAAUUUGGAUAUUCUA